AGGCAGCCUUGCUGUUUGAUAAUAAGGUAGCGAAAAAGUUGUUAAGCUGCUCAUAUAUUGAUUGGCUUUUGCUCUUCAGACUUACUAAGGUUUUUCCUUGAAGCUGGUCUAGUAAGCCCAAGCACAAU